rnacentral:rRNA from 1 species
UACAGAGGUCUCAAGCGUUGUUCGGAAUUACUGGGCGUAAAGGGUGCGCAGGCCGCGCGGGCAGUCAAAUGUGUAAUUCCGGGGCUCAACCCCUGCACUGCGCUUGAUACUUCCGCGCUCGAGCUUUGGAGAGGAGUCUGGAAUUCUCGGUGUAGCAGUGAAAUGCGUGGAUAUCGAGAAGAACACGUAGGGCGUAGGCAAGACUCUGGACAAAUGCUGACGCUCAUGCACGAAGGCUAGGGUAGCGAACGGG